AUCAAUCACGUCGUGCUACGGACCCGAAGCACCAACGUUCGUCGAGGAACCUUCCUUUCUUAACUUGCUCCUUCAUCUCCGUCCAAAGCCCAAAACAUUUUUCCCUUCCUUCCAUUUCGUUUCGGUCGAUAUCCGGUGCGUCGCUCGGCUAUGCCGUGACGAUCCGUCGCAGGAAAUGGCGAUGGUACUCCGGACGGCGCGGAAGCUAUGCGGAAAUCGCCGUGGACCGUGCGUUUCGGGCGUAUGGAGAAGCCACGCCUCGAUGUCGGGCGAGUCCGUGGUGGGCAUGGCGGCGAGGGACGGCGAGCUGAGGGUGUUCGUCGUCGCAGGGGAGGUUUCAGGGGACACCAUCGCUUCUCGCCUCAUGACCUGUCUCAAGUCUCUCUCUCCUUUUCCGGUUCGUUUCGCCGGCGUCGGAGGGUCAAUGAUGUCUAAGCAGGGGUUGAAAAGCCUGUUUCCUAUGGAGGACAUUUCAGUGAUGGGCAUCUGGGAGCUAAUACCUCAUUUGGGUAAAAUCAGAGUUAAAUUGAAGGAAACAGUGGAUGCUGCUCUUCUUUUUCAGCCUCACGUUGUGGUAACAGUGGAUUCCAAGGGUUUCUCCUUUCGUCUCCUGAAGCUGCUGAGGGCUGGACAUUAUCAGCAAUAUGCAGAUGGCCCUGUUCACUUCCACUAUGUUGCUCCUUCAUUCUGGGCAUGGAAAGGGGGUGAAGCAAGACUAGCAAACCUUGCUAAGUUUGUGGACCACAUUUUCUGCAUACUCCCAAAUGAGGCCGAAGUUUGCAAGUUGAAUGGACUGUCAGCGAAUUUUGUGGGCCACCCUAUAUUAGAAGAUGCCUUGGAGUUGAAUCAGGGAGAAGAUGCGUCAAGAAUACAGAACUUGGCUGGGAGUAGGGAAAGCUUUUGGUCCAAAUACAGAGUACCUUCAGGAGGUACAAUCAUUAGCUUGCUCCCCGGAAGUAGACUGCAAGAGGUUGCACGGAUGCUUCCAAUCUUUGCAGAGACUGUUAAGAUGCUGAAAUCAUCCAUCUCGGAGCUAUUAACAAUAGUUCACGUGGCAUCUAAUCAGCAUGUGGAGGACUACGUGGACGGAUUUGUCCGGAACUGGCCAGUGCCCGUCAUAUUGGUUCCAGGAGGAGAAACACAGCCAAAAUAUGAGGCUUUGAGUGCAAGCAGAGUUGCUUUGUGUACUUCUGGCACCGUUGCUGUGGAAAUGCAAGUUGCGCGGCUACCAUGUGUUGUUGCUUACCGAGCUCAUUUUCUAACAGAGUUGUUUAUUCGCUACAAAGCAAAGAUACCAUACAUUUCUCUCCCCAAUAUCCUUUUAAAUGCAAGUGUCAUUCCAGAAGCUUUGUUUCAACAAUGUACACCUGGGAACCUGACUUCUUUGCUCAUGGAACUAAUCCAUGAUGAAGGGCUUCGUGAAAAGCAAAUCCUCGCUGCACCGGAGGUUAUGAAGCUUCUGUGGCCUUCGGAAAAAGUAGCAAAGAGAGCACGAUGGGGAUCAAGCAGCAAGUGUUUGUACGGCAGCCCAAGCAUGAUAGCCGCAUCGACCAUACUAGACUACGUGAAGCCAAUAUCAAGAUGAUGAGAUUGAGUAAAAUAAAAGGACAGAAGAAUCCAUAGUUUGUGUGGCGUGGACUAUGAUCUGAUCCUUUCUCGUGUUAGUCAGUGGGAAGUUGGGAACCUUUGUCAACCAUAUCCUGUCAGAUACAGGUCUCUUACAGUGCAAGUGUAAAACAGGUUUCGAUUCCUCGAGCAUUUACAGAUGCCAAUUAUUGCGAUCGACCAUGAAACCGAGAUCAUCCAAAAACACAUGAAAAAGGCAUGAAAAAUUAUGUCUCAGGAUACAUUAUCUCUUUGUUACUUAUGAUGAUAUGUGCUGCUUCAUCCUCGGGCACUCCCAUUUUCUCUGCAGUGUCUCGCCAGUCCCAGUUGAUUCUUGUGUUCAUAUGUAUCUCCUUUAUAAACAUCAGGGACAUGAUUUUUGCUGCACAGUUCCACGAUCGAUUUGUUC